AGAGUUUGAUCCUGGCUCAGGACGAACGCUGGCGGCGUGCCUAACACAUGCAAGUCGAGCGGGGAGGAGGAAGCUUGCUUCCGAAUCCUAGCGGCGGACGGGUGAGUAACGCGUGAGCAACCUGCCUCAAACAGGGGGAUAACGCAUCGAAAGAUGUGCUAAUACCGCGUAAGACCACGGUACCGCAUGGUACAGGGGUCAAAGGAGCAAUCCGGUUUGAGAUGGGCUCGCGUCCGAUUAGCUAGUUGGUGAGAUAACAGCCCACCAAGGCGACGAUCGGUAGCCGACCUGAGAGGGUGAUCGGCCACAUUGGAACUGAGAAACGGUCCAGACUCCUACGGGAGGCAGCAGUGGGGAAUAUUGGGCAAUGGGCGAAAGCCUGACCCAGCAACGCCGCGUGAGGGAAGAAGGGUUUCGGCUCGUAAACCUCUGUCCUAUGGGACGAAGGAAGUGACGGUACCAUAGGAGGAAGCCCCGGCUAACUACGUGCCAGCAGCCGCGGUAAUACGUAGGGGGCGAGCGUUGUCCGGAAUGAUUGGGCGUAAAGGGCGCGUAGGCGGCCCGUUAAGUCUGGAGUGAAAGUCCCGCUUUCAAGGUGGGAAUUGCCUUGGAUACUGAUGGGCUCGAGUGCAGGAGAGGAAGGCGGAAUUACCGGUGUAGCGGUGAAAUGCGUAGAGAUCGGUAGGAACACCAGUGGCGAAGGCGGCUUACUGGACUGUAACUGACGCUGAGGCGCGAAAGUGUGGGGAGCAAACAGGAUUAGAUACCCUGGUAGUCCACACUGUAAACGAUGAAUGCUAGGUGUGGGGGCGAAAGCUUCCGUGCCGCAGUUAACACAAUAAGCAUUCCACCUGGGGAGUACGGCCGCAAGGUUGAAACUCAAAGGAAUUGACGGGAGCCCGCACAAGCAGUGGAGUAUGUGGUUUAAUUCGACGCAACGCGAAGAACCUUACCAGGACUUGACAUCCCUUGACUACGCCGUAAUGGGCGGUCUUGAACUUCGGUUCAACAAGGUGACAGGUGGUGCAUGGUUGUCGUCAGCUCGUGUCGUGAGAUGUUGGGUUAAGUCCCGCAACGAGCGCAACCCUCGUUCUAUGUUGCCAGCGCGUUAUGGCGGGGACUCAUAGGAGACUGCCGGGGUCAACUCGGAGGAAGGUGGGGACGACGUCAAAUCAUCAUGCCCCUUAUGUCUUGGGCUUCACGCAUGCUACAAUGGCCGGUACAAAGGGUUGCGAUACUGUGAGGUGGAGCUAAUCCCAAAAAGCCGGUCUCAGUUCGGAUUGAGGUCUGCAACUCGACCUCAUGAAGUUGGAGUCGCUAGUAAUCGCAGAUCAGCAACGCUGCGGUGAAUACGUUCCCGGGCCUUGCACACACCGCCCGUCA
rnacentral:rRNA from 1 species